AAUGAUUUAUAUGUUGGAUGAGAGAGAAAUCAUGUUUUCAUGGGGGUUGGUUAUGUAGCCUGAGUCCAGGAAUUACAUGUUGUCAGGUUAUAAUAAAUGAUUGAGGAAUGCUAUGCUUCUCUGCUUGAACUUAGUAGAAUAAACGUCUGGUUUUGUGGCAAUGAACUACGAAUGGUUUGAACCCUAUUUGAGGGUACGUAUGCAAUCUAACGAGGAGGUUAGAUGCAGCCAUAAGGUAAACGAAAGAUUUCUUUGCAAUUUGAUUUUCGAAUUGUGAUUACCAUAUUCCUGUGAGUUAUACGAGUAUUUGGGUGACGUCACGUGUCGAUCUUGGAUGUAUGUCGGAAUCAGGGCGUGACAGUCGGAUUGUAAAGUCAAGACCUUUUUUUCCAGCGUCCUUCGCCAUUUACUGGCUUAUUUCAUUGGUUUUUAAUCUCCUGUUUUACUGCCUGCUUUUUCUUCUUCUCCUACAUCUUGCCUUUUUUUUAAACCUUAAUUUCAUUUAUUCAGUCUUUUUCUCUCACAUCCAUUUUUAUGAUUUCUCCUUGCAUCUCCUGACACCUGUAUCUCCUACCUCUCCAUUAGUUUCCCUUUAUUCCUACCAAAAAUCAGAUUUUCGAGUUCUGGACUCGAUUUGGGAUGUAGAUCUCUAUCCUACUGCCCCUUGUUUUACCGGCAUGCCAGAGAGUUUUGGCGAAGUGUUAUGCGACCUCCGUCAUAGUGUGGUGGUUGGUGGUACGGAUCUGCAUGGCUCAGUCGGUUGAAUCACUUUGAGAUUUGAUUUUUGCUGUAGAAUUUCUUUUUAUUUUUGGGUUAUUUUGGUUGUGCUUGACUCUUUGCAGAUUCACCUUCUGUUUGGUUCCUACAUGGCUGUCACUCCAGUGGUUGUUGGCAGAGUUUGGUGGCAGUUAGCUCCUCCUCCUUGAUGGAGAUUAGGUUUUCUUUUCUGUCGUUUUUUUUCAGUUCUAGGCCUUUGUCAAUGGCAAGUUGGGCCUCCCACUUUUUAUCUUGGGCCAUUGGUUGACUUUGUAAUAUGUUUUAUCUUUAAUGAAUUCCGACCUUCUCGACCCAAAAAAAGUUGUUUGCUAAGAGAACUCUUUUGGGUCAUCUGGAUGGGGCUGGUGAUUUACUAGGCCUAUUUGGGUCAUAGCAAGACUUUACUUUGGGCUAGCAUUUUCA